GGGGUGCACUCAGCACCUGUGAGAACAAUUGAGGAGCUACUUGAUUGACAAGUAGCAGCACCAGUCAUGAAAACUGACAAUGGCUGGGAGAGUGGUGUGCUAACCACGUGCCCGUCAGUAUCGGCAUCUGGUGAUGCCUAAGGGCUCAGUUUGACAUGGAUGCUGGUUGGUCUUUAAGGCCUGCUCAGACGGAAAAUGUUAUCACUACGAAGUAGUGCCAUUUGGUUUGAAUACAGUUUCCGUAUCCACCCGAGCUCUGCAUAAAGUGUUAGGAAAAGAGUUGGGUCAUGCUUGAUCAUUUUCAGGUGAAUUGAAUGGAAAACAAAUGUUGUAAAUAAUAACAACAUUGUCAUACUGUACACUGUGGAAGUGACUAAGAGUAGAAGUAAUAAAAAACAGGGGAGACGUCGCAUACGCUGAGCUAUCCUGAGAGGUGGUGUGCUGCCAUCUGAAUUGCAUGGAAGGGAGUCUCGUGCAACAUGUGGAUUUCCGAACACAAAGUGCAUCUGGACUGCUGCUUGGUCGUUUUUCAGAGCAAGAAG